GGAUGCGAUCAUACCAGCACUAAAGCACCGGAUCCCAUCAGAACUCUGAAGUUAAGCAUGCUUGGGCGAGAGUAGUACUAGGAUGGUGACCUCUUGGGAAGUCCUCGUGUUGCAUUCC
rnacentral:rRNA from 2 species